UCCCCCCCCCAUGGCCUCCAUGGCGCUGGGGGACCCCCGUGCACGGGGGCGACCGCGUUACCCCCCCGCCGGCGGUACCUCCGAUGGUACUUCCCCGGGGCGGCGUGCGGCGGUACCUGGGCUCCAGGGCGAGCGUUUGGGGGUGCUCCUGGAGAGGGGUGCCGGGGGGGCUCCUUCCCGGGGUGGUGCUCGGCGGUACUCCUCCUCGGGGGUGGUGCUUGGGCGGUACCUGGGCGGUACUUGGGCGGUACCUGGGUGGUACUCGGGCGGUACUCCUCCUCGGGGGUGGUACUUGGGUGGUACCUGGGCGGUACUUGGGUGGUACCUGGGCGGUACUCCUCCUUGGGGGUGGUAUUCAGGCGGUACUCCUCCUCGGGGGCGGUACUUGGGUGGUACUUGGGCAGUACCCCUCCCUAGGGGUGGUACUUGGGUGGUACCUCUCCUCGGGGGUGGUAUUUGGGUGGUACUCGGGUGGUACUCCUCCCCGGGGGUGGUACUUGGGUGGUACCACUCCUCGGGGGUGGUACUCGGGCGGUGCCCCUCCUCGUGCCUGGCACUUCCCGGCACGCCGCGGUACCCUCCUCGGGGCGGUACCGGGGCACUCGGGCGGUGCCCCUCAGCAGAGGCGGCAUUUCGCGGUACUUCCCGUGGGGGUGGUACUCUGCGGUACCCCGGGGGGGGUAACAACUGUGGUACCCUUUGGGGGGUACUUGGCGGUACUCCUCCCCUGCGGUGGUACUCUGGUACUCCGGGGGUGCCACUCUGCGGUACUCCUCCUCAGGGGUGUUGCUCUGGCGCUCCUGGGGGUGUUGCUCCGUGGUACCCCGCCUCAGGGCUGUUACUCGUGGUACCCCUCCUCGGGGAUGGUACCCUGGACCCCUGUGGGGUGUUGCUCCGUGGUGCUCCUGGGGGGUGUUACGCUGUGGUACCCGCCCUCAGGGGUGUUACUCCAUGGUACUUUGCCUCGUGGAUGGUACUCUGGCUCUCUUGUGGGGUGUUACACCGUGGUACUUCUCCUGGGGGGGGUGUUACCCCAUGGUACCCCUUUUCUGGAGGAGGCUGUUACCCCGUGGUACUCCUCCUCCUCCUCCUCCUCCUCAGGGCUCUUAUCCCGUCGUACUCUUCCUCGAGAGGAGGGUGUUACCCGGUGGUACUCCUCCUGGGGGGGGUGUUACCCCAUGGUACCCCUCCUGGAGGUGUUGUUACCCCACGGUACCCCUCCUGGGGGGGUGUUACCCGGUGGUACCCCUCCUGGGGGGGGGUGUUACCCCGUGGUACCCCUCCUGGAGGUGUUGUUACCCCACGGCACCCCUCUUGGAGGUGUUACCCGGUGGUACCCCUCCUGGGGGGGUGUUAC
rnacentral:lncRNA from 1 species